AAAACCACAGAUAAGUGGGGAAGGGGGCUACUAUAUUGGAAAAAAAAUCAACCUUGGAAAGAUCCAACCUCUAAACCAACAGAUAAUUUUAUUCAAUUGCUAACUUCUUCAGGCUUACAAUUUAUGGAAAAGCUACAACUACACAUGAAAAUCGGUAACAGGGCUUGGCUUUUUUAGCCUAACGUCACCUGAAGCAGAACUCCAGAUCAGGCCCUGUCUUCAAGCACUGGGUCAGGUUUUGCUCCCUUUCAAUAGCUGGAUGUUCAGACAUUUACACUGUAUGGAGGAUGAGCUUCUUGUUGCUAAUGCCUGUAUUGAUGGCUGAGGCUACGUGACCAACACACAAGACAGCGAGGGAUCUUGGGGAUGGGUGAAAACCAAGCUGAACAUUUCCUAACUUCCAGAGUAAUUGGCUAUAUUUGAGGAAGUCCUGUGAAAAUCCGAAGGGACCAUAUUGUGGUCCCAUCAUUCACGAUGCAAAACCCACUGUGACUCCUACACGUGUAUUACGUAAUCUGUAGAAACUGCAGCAAGUGCGGAAUGCAUUCAUAACACAUAUCUCUGAGGCUAUGGUGACAUAAUAAAAGGCUAAUGUCAUUCAA